rnacentral:rRNA from 1 species
CCUACGGGAGACAGCAGUGAGGAAUAUUGGUCAAUGGACGAGAGUCUGAACCAGCCAAGUAGCGUGAAGGAUGACUGCCCUAUGGGUUGUAAACUUCUUUUAUAUGGGAAUAAAAUGUUCCACGUGUGGGUUUUUGUAUGUACCGUAUGAAUAAGGAUCGGCUAACUCCGUGCCAGCAGCCGCGGUAAUACGGAGGAUGCGAGCGUUAUCCGGAUUUAUUGGGUUUAAAGGGAGCGUAGGUGGGUUGUUAAGUCAGUUGUGAAAGUUUGGGGCUCAACCGUAAAAUUGCAAUUGAAACUGGCAGUCUUGAGUACAGUAGAGGUGGGCGGAAUUCGUGGUGUAGCGGUGAAAUGCUUAGAUAUCACGAAGAACUCCGAUUGCGAAGGCAGCUCACUGGACUGCAACUGACACUGAGGCUCGAAAGUGUGGGUAUCAAACAGGAUUAGAUACCCUAGUAGUC